rnacentral:lncRNA from 1 species
GUUGAGCAACUAAGUAUUGUAAUUGAUUUGUUAAUAAAUAAAAUAUAUUUGGCAUCUUCAUCAUAAGCUUUCAUCUUCUAAUGAACUCCGUUGUUAUGAUGAAGUCCUUAGGACUAUUUAAGUUCGAUAAAGAGAGGAUUUAUCAAUUAGUCCUUAAAACUGUUCACGACCAAAUGAUAGGCUGUUAAUAAGGAUGACAGCUUCUAUCGAGCAUAGGUCGCUGUAGGCCAUAUGGGUUGGUUGUCCUCUUAACCAAGGAGUGUGGAGACACUGGUAUGGCAUACAGGUGAGAUGUAAGGGUACAUCGUCAUUGAACGUGACCAACUCCAGAGUAUUCUACUGUCGAGAAUAUCUCUGAUGGAAUAUAGGUAUAAGUGUCCCUUAGACUUGAGAUCGCCUCAGUGACUUGCAAGCAACUCA